GGCCUGAACGCUGGCGGCGUGGCUAAGACAUGCAAGUCGCACGGUGUAGCAAUACACAGUGGCGAACGGGUGAGUAAUGAAUCGCUAAUGUACCCCGGACUCUGGGAUAGCUACCCGAAAGGGUAGGUAAUACCAGAUGAGACCACGGCAUCGCAUGAUGUUGUGCUCAAAGGUCCGCCGGUCUGGGAGCGAGGCGAUUUCGUAUCAGCUAGUUGGUGAGGUAACGGCUCACCAAGGCGACGACGCGUAGCCGGACGUGAGAGGUUGGACCGGCCAACGCUUAGGGGACCUGGAGACGACCUGCCCCGAGACCUCCGUACGGGGGGCUGCGAGUAACGAAUCCGUUCCGACAAUGCACGAAAGUGUACGACGGACGCGACGCCGCGUGAGGACGAA
rnacentral:rRNA from 1 species